rnacentral:rRNA from 1 species
CGUAGGGGGCUAGCGUUGUCCGGAUUUAUUGGGCAUAAAGAGCGUGUAGGCGGCCAAGUAAGUCCGGUGUGAAAACUCGAGGCUUAACCUCGAGAUGUCAUCGGAAACUAUUUGGCUAGAGUCCGGAAGAGGAGAGUGGAAUUCCUGGUGUAGCGGUGAAAUGCGCAGAUAUCAGGAAGAACACCUAUGGCGAAAGCAGCUCUCUGGGACGGUACUGACGCUGAGACGCGAAAGCGUGGGGAGCGAACAGGAUUAGAUACCCUGGUAGUCCACGCCGUAAACGAUGGGUGCUAGGUGUGGGCGGUGUCGACUCCGUCCGUGCCGAAGCCAACGCAUUAUGCACCCCGCCUGGGGAGUACGGCCGCAAGGCUA